GAAGCAGCAUGGUCCCAUUCAGAUGGAUUGAAGUGUUUUUAUUCUCUCUACUAAUACUUCAGUGUAGAGGCAACAAUAUAACAGAAACACAACCGGUAACAACACAAUCAGAAAAUACAACUACUAUUGAACCUACAUCAGCAAAUGGAACAGAAAGGACUUCAUCAGGUAACAACACAACAACACCAAAACCCACAACAUCAACAACAACAAAUACAACUACUAUUGAACCUACAUCAGCAAAUGGAACAGAAAGGAUUUCAUCAGGUGACAACACAACAACACCAAAACCCACAACAUCAACAACAACAAAUACAACUACUAUAUCACCAUCAAGCGAACCUACAACAACAGCUGGAACAACUGGAAAAAAAUAUACAGAACUUUGGAAAUGUUUUAUCAUUGUUCUUGUGGGAAUUGUGGUACUAAUACUUGCUAUAGUCAUCACCACCUGGAAAAAAUCAAAUGGAAGCAAAACACAGGUGGAAGAAGCGACUAAGGUGGCGGGUGAACGCAGCUGCCAAAAAAAUGCUGGUGAUGAAGAUGUCUCCUAUGUCUCUGUCAGUUUUAUCAGGAGGUCCAAGUGUAAAGCCAAGGUCUGUAAUCAUAAUGAUGAUCAAGAUGACACUGUGACUUACAGCACUCUGAAAUUUCCUUUCUCUUCUGAUGGCGUUUCCACUGAUCCCAGCGACCUCUAUUCCACCGUCAACAAACAAAAGAAACAAGUUCCAGCCUGAAGGUUACAUUCUUUUUUCGUAUUGAUUGUUUGCAUUAUAUGAUAAAUAUGUAAAAAACAUUUUUAAAUUUUUCUUUAACUAAAAAAAAAAGAAAGAAAAAAAUGACCUGCAUUUGAUAAGAUGACACACGCGAUUGACACACUGGCUAAAGUUUCCCACCUUUUAUUUAAGUUGAGUUGUACAGGAGAGGAUUUGGGACACUGGAAAAAGUGGGGGUGUCUUUUUUAAAAUUUCUGAGAAAAAAAUGUCCCCACUUGUUUUUUCCCCAGGGGGUCCUCUUCCAUAGAGUUAAGUUAUAACAGGAAAGGUAAAUGUUUAAAAUUAAAAUGCUUUGUAUUCAGCUGUUAAUAUCUAUCCUAUGUCAAUGAUAGUGAUCUCUUUGGUAAACAAUUGUGAAAAAAUGUCUUCUUAAUGUACAAUCAUCAAUACAAACAGUAUCAGCUUUCGAGGUAGUGAAACAAAGAAACCACUGACACUCCCUCUAGAGGUUGAGGUUAACGUUUUAUACUGUGUGCUCAUGUACUGUAGGCAAAGUCAAUAUUUUAUAUCUCUUUGCCUUUUUAAUAAUGUUACCUUGUUUUGGAAAUGUAACAAAAACUUACUUGUUUAUGUCCAAUUGGAUUAACUGAUCUAAUUGUGUCUAUGAUAUAAUAUCAAU
ensembl:lncRNA